GGGAUCUGUGACUUUACAACCUUGCCCCACAAGCUCUAGUUCUACAACCUUAUCACCAGGCACUAUGGUAUAAGAAAAGCAACUAUCAUGUAAAAUUUUGCUGCACAUACCAACAUCUUAUAACAAACAAGUACAAAAAUGGUUAUUCCACUUAUUCCUGUAAGGUCUAUGAAGUCCCAGCAUUGUUCUUCAUGCUAAUUACAUGACCUAACUGCUUUCUUCCUGGGAGUCAUGCAAAGACACAACGGAAUGUGAAGGUGCUAUGGCUUGAAUGUUACCAAAUCUACUGUGGAAACUGGAUCCCCAGUGUUGGAGGUGGGGCCUAAUAGGAGGUGUCUGGGCCAUGGGGGUGGAUCCCUCACUCUAUUAGUUCCCAUGAGAGCUAGUUGUUAAAAAGAGCCUGGCACCUCGCCCUUCUCUCUCGCUUCCUUUCUCACUAUGUGAUCUCUACACAGCUCCCCUUCACAUUCCACCAUAAGUAGAAGCAGCCUGAGGCCCUCACCAGAUGCCCAAUCUUCCAGCCAGCAGACUGAUUCAGUGCUUAUCAAAGCUCAUAGAAGAUACUUAAUUGCAAUGGAAGAACCAGAUUAGUCUGCAUGGCAAGACAUUAGUGCAUGUCAAGAUUGCUGUUGAAGCCAGGACUGCUGAGUUUUAUUUCCAUGAGAGACCGAGAAGCUUCGAGAGCUGGACAUUUUUUCAGGGAAAGAUAAAAUGGGGAACAUCACCUUGGUCUGACAGCAAGUGGUUGUAUUUAGAGCAGAGAAGUGGAGAAGUGGGCUGUCAACUUAUAUUUUGAUUAUCUUAGUGCUUUAUUGUUUGUGCUUUUGAAUGGUUGAUUUCUAUUCUUGGCUUUGAUCUUAUUGCAUUCAUUUAUAUUGUAUGGUUAAAUUGUUUGAGUUCUUUAAUUUGCAAUCAGCAUUUCUUUAUUUACUUAUUUAUAUCCCACUUUAUUCCAAAAAUGAUUCAAGGCAGCUUACGGAAAUACCUACAAUUCAAGAAGACCAAAUAAAGUAUAAAAAUAGCUGAGUGCAUCUGGACAACCAGAAUGUAGGGCUGUGAAAACAAGAACAAUCCAGAUGUGGCCUUGGAAUACUUAGGCUGUGCUGUCAAAUCUUAAACUCUAGCUGUAGUUGAGCCAUAUUUAAUGUCAGCCUUUCUAGAUGCUAACGUGGUAAUGUGGCUUAAAAUUUCAUAUGACUUGAACAAGUUAAUUGCUCAGGAAAAAGCACAAUUGUUUCUGACAGCAGGGAGAGAUUUCCCAUUUGUGGGAAAUUUAUUAAACACAGAGGAAUUCACUUAUUUAUUGCUCAGCAUGGUACACUCAUUCCAGUUAGGAAUAUAGACGCUGGUGUAUCUUUUAGAAUAUGGAUUAAGGAUACCAAUGCUACAUACCCUAGGUCUGCCCCACAUUCCAUCCAAGCAUGGACGUUUUCGGUUAAAUUUACAACCCUGGGUCCAUCUGAAAUUAGCCUUCACUGCUCCAAGGAUCCUUAGAAAACAUAAUUCUCUUAUUUGUGUGUACCUUUGAUGUAUGUGGCUUUUAUGUUUGAAUUACUGCAUUAAACACAGAGGUCUUCCUUACCAGGGCUUUGUGUAGCAAGAUUUUACUUUCAUCCUUCAGUUAAAUCUAAUUAAGAAAAUUAACUGAAGGAACUUUCCAUAAAAAUGAGAUGUUAUUAUGUGCUAAUGAAAGGCAGAUUGAUGGAGCAAGUCUCCUAGUUACGCAAGUCAUAAACUCGAGGUCUCAUUCCCAUCAAAGAGGCUUAACUGUCUGUUCCCAGAGCUUUCAUGUAAUUAAGGUAUGCUCUUAUUAGGUGUCAAUAAAUGCCCAGAGGGUGCAGUCUGUAUGUGGAG
rnacentral:lncRNA from 10 species